GACCGGGUUUUUCCUCUUCUGGUGUUUUAGGAAAUUGUGUAAAGCACCAUUAAUUAUCUUAGAUGUUUUUAAAAGGGUGUCUCUUGUGGGGCGUGGUGGUGCACACCUUUACUCCCCACCACUAGGGAGGCAGAGGCAGGCAGAAGGCCAGCCUGGUCUACAAGUAACUUCUCUGCAUCUGGAAAAGAACCCACAAACGCCAGCCCAGAAGCCGGGCUGGAAGACAACGCUGUAGUGGGGUCUGCGAGCG
rnacentral:lncRNA from 1 species